GUCAUAUGUGAUGCCAUUCAACUGCUAGAUAAGAAGUGUGAUGCUAUUGAUAGAAAGGUGUCAGAAAUUCAGUGUUCACAAGCGGAACAUGAUUGGGACUCUCCUAAGCAACUCAGGAGACAGAGCUUCUCAGAUUUGGGAAGAGCUGAAGCCAAGGAAAAGGAGAGAAUAAAGCGUCUCACUUCAUUUUCUCACUCUGAGAGUUACAGCCCAACUUCACCAGUUGGCAGACCAGAAGAUAAUGGUGAGGAAAACAUGGCAUUUUUGGAUUAUGAAGAAUCACAGGAAAUCAAGCAAGAACCCCUGCAGGAGGAGGAGCCAUUCUGUGGUGGUUCACCAGUUCCUAACCAGUGUUGUGGCCAUACUCACUGUACGUGCAUGAGAUAUUCUGAUACGCCUGCCAGCCCCAGGUAUCCUGGCAGCAACAACAUGUCGCCUGCAGAAAUUUCCACAGUAUCACAUUCAGCAACUCUGACCCAGGGAUAUUCCAGCCUGAAACGUAGCUUGGACAUGAGCAGCUGUUCUGGGUGCCUGGAGAGUAAGCCUCCUAGAACAUCUUUCCAAUACUCAGCUGAUUUUGCUACAAGCUCUCCAAUUGAAUCUAAAACUGAUACUGUGAAACAAACCUUCCCUGAAAACCCUUUAAACUGGUCUGUGGAAGAUGUGAUCCAGUUUCUGAACCAUACAGAUCCUCAGAUAUCAGGCCCCCUCACCUGGCUCCUGAGGACCCAGGUAAUGUUAUCUUUUGAUCUGGUUUACCUGCUGCCAUAACGCCUUUGAAUGGCCUCUGUGCCAGCCUUUCUGUUAGGUACUGUGUUGUGUGGGUGGUGGGGGAACCGUACCAACUAAUUUUUCCAUUUGUAAGAAAGGUUAUUUUGUCCAGUGUUAGAUCCCUCAAUAGUAAGUUAAUGGUCGGUUCUUUAAAUGGGCGUCCAUGUACCUAGUAUACUAGAUAUGCUCCUUUUGUCAUAGUUAUAUAUUAUUUUAUUCAGCAUCCAGUUUUUAAAAUUGCGUAUCUUGACAUAAUUCAUUUUUAAAUAUUAAUUUUUUUCUUAAAAUUUGAAGUGUAUUUAUAAAGUAUCACAUGUUUCACUGUUCAGAUUAUAUUUUAAUAGUUUUUAUCAAGCAGAUGCAUAUUCAGAGACUACACAUUUGCAGUGAGCUGCUUUCUAGCUGUUUUACAUGUUCUUAUAAAGAAAUAGCACUGUGAUCAGAUGUGAAAGUAUUAUUAAUUAUAACUGCUUUCUUUCCGUAGGAAAUUGAUGGGAAAGCCCUGCUGCUGCUCAAUAAUGACAUAAUCACUAAGUAUAUGGGUUUGAAGCUGGGGCCUGUAUAUAGUUGGAAGUCAUAGACUGGGGGAAGAACUGGUACUUAGAAAAACAAGGUGUUUUCGGAAAUGUAGAUUGAGCUUACCAAUUCAUUUUUCUGUCCUUAGUUUUUGUUUUGCUGACAGUUCCUCUACAGUUUUUCUGUCCUCAGUUUUUGUUUUGCCGACAGUUCCUCUAAAACUGUUAUAUCCAGAACUGCAAAACUAUGUUAUCGUUAAGUCUACUUCUUGAAAAGCCAUUUAACAUGUUAGCAUUAACAUUUUCAAACUGGACGUUCAUUCCUUCUGUGUUUUUAGUAUUUUUUAUGUAAAGUUUACAAAUAUAUUUCAUGCAAAAAAUGUGUAUUUCAAGCAGCAAAAGAAACAAAAAACAAAACAGAACCAAAAUCUUUUGAUUUGGGAGAGGAAAUACCAGGGAUUGAAAACUUCUAUAAUUAAAUGCAAGAGAAUUUUACCUCAGAAGAGAAUUUAAAGUUAAAUCUGUGGCUAUCUUAUCUUUCUCAGAUAUUCUGAUACUGUAGUGUACUGUUUGUGAUCUACCAAUGUCCACAAAAGCAAUAGGCAUGUAAAUUCUUUGCCUCUCUAUUACUUCUUUGUAUAGUUUUAUUUGUUCAAAUUUAGUAGAGAAAGACAUUUUUAAAGCUUCAUCAAAUGUUCUUAGCAGUUUUCAGAUAAAUUGUAGGAUAUAUGGAAUGACCAUGUUAUGCAAGAAAUAUACUGCCAAGAGUAGUCUGGAUGGAGUCUUACUAUAAUUUGUUCAGAGAAAUACCUAUUAUUUUAAAGUUUCCUAUUUUAGUUUAAUUGGACAUUCAAAUAAGAACUCAUUGUUCUCAUCAUUUUAUUAGGAUAUUAUAUCCCAGUUUUUAAAAGAUAUGUUUUUAUUUGUAUGUUUAUUCCUCAUAUGGGCACUGUUUCAUAUUUAUAUUUUAUUCUAAAACAAGUAUACAUGCAAGUAAAUCUUUACUUUUGGAAUUUAAAAUGGCACUUUGCACUGCUAACAGAGGUAAUGAGGAACUUUUUCUUACUGAGAUGUUUUUAUACUUUAAAAAAUAUAUAUGCAUCAUUUGCCAUCCCUGGUACCUUUCAACUUAACUCUACAGGGAAUGAGAAACAAUCUCUAGAUUGAUUUCCUUGUUAAGGAAGUGCUCUGUUCUAUAGUGUUCCUAACUUGCCUAGUUCUGAGCCAUUUAUCCUUUUCAACUUUGGAAGAUACAUUAGUUCUCAGUUAUUGUUUUGAGCUAUAUUUCAUAAUUUAAAAAUUUUAAGAGAAAUAUAUUAUUUUGUUAUUAUUUAUUACAUUGUUUAACUUUUGGAACAAUGCAAGCUAUGAAAACUGUUGCUGAUAGUAUCAGCCGUUCGAAAUAAAUAACAAUAGAAUGUUCAGCAAGUGCAAGAAAACCAAAUGUUCUUUAUAUACAAGUGCGACUAUUUACUGGAUACACGUGUGGUUUAAAGGCUGACUUAAUUUAUGUUAUCCACUAUGUAAAAUGAGAUUCUAACUUAAACUUGGUCUUCUUUCAAAUUGUUUAUGUGAAGAUGCUGUACUAUUUCUCAGGUGUUUGGAAAUACUGUUUCACCCUUUCCAAUUUUUAAAAUACAAUAAAAUUAGAUAAAUUCAAUAAUUAAUGCCAAAGCCUCAGAUUUUAUGUCACUUGAUUUCAUCAUAUUAAGUUAAUGAAUGAAUUUGUUAAACUUAAAAAAGAGCCACUCUAGUAAAUGUGGUUCCAGUUCUUGAGUUUUAAAACAUGUU
rnacentral:lncRNA from 1 species